AUUGAACGCUGGCGGCAUGCCUUACACAUGCAAGUCGAACGGCAGCACGGGGGCAACCCUGGUGGCGAGUGGCGAACGGGUGAGUAAUGCAUCGGAACGUGCCCAGUAGUGGGGGAUAACUAGUCGAAAGAUUAGCUAAUACCGCACACGACCUAUGGGUGAAAGCGGGGGAUUCGCAAGAACCUCGCGCUAUCGGAGCGGCCGAUGUCUGAUUAGCUAGUUGGCGGGGUAAGAGCCCACCAAGGCUUCGAUCAGUAGCUGGUCUGAGAGGACGACCAGCCACACUGGGACUGAGACACGGCCCAGACUCCUACGGAGGCAGCAGUGGGGAAUUCUGGACAAUGGGCGCAAGCCUGAUCCAGCCAUGCCGCGUGCGGGAAGAAGGCCU
rnacentral:rRNA from 1 species